rnacentral:rRNA from 1 species
GGCGCCUUGCGCGCACCGGCGGACGGCUCAGUAACACGUCGGUAACCUACCCUCGGGAGGGGGAUAACCCCGGGAAACUGGGGCUAAUCCCCCAUAGGCCUGAGGUACUGGAAGGUCCUCAGGCCGAAAGGGGCUCUGCCCGCCCGAGGAUGGGCCGGCGGCCGAUUAGGUAGUUGGUGGGGUAACGGCCCACCAAGCCGAAGAUCGGUACGGGCCAUGAGAGUGGGAGCCCGGAGAUGGACACUGAGACACGGGUCCAGGCCCUACGGGGCGCAGCAGGCGCGAAACCUCCGCAAUGCGGGCAACCGCGACGGGGGGACCCCCAGUGCCGUGGCAUCGCCACGGCUUUUCCGGAGUGUAAAAAGCUCCGGGAAUAAGGGCUGGGCAAGGCCGGUGGCAGCCGCCGCGGUAAUACCGGCGGCCCGAGUGGUGGCCGCUAUUAUUGGGCCUAAAGCGUC